UAUAGGGGGUGCAAGCGUUGCUCGGAAUCACUGGGCGUAAAGCGUACGCAGGCGGACCGUUAAGUCGGGUGUGAAAGCCCGGGGCUCAACCCCGGAACUGCAUUCGAUACUGGCGGUCUUGAAUACGGGAGAGGUGAGUGGAAUUCCUGGUGUAGAGGUGAAAUUCGUAGAUAUCAGGAGGAACACCGGUGGUGUAGACGGCUCACUGGACCGUAACUGACGCUGAGACACGAAAGCGUGGGUAGCAAACAGG
rnacentral:rRNA from 1 species